rnacentral:rRNA from 1 species
UGGGGAAUUUUGCGCAAUGGGCGAAAGCCUGACGCAGCAACGCCGCGUGGAGGAUGAAGGUCUUUGGAUUGUAAACUCCUGUCAGCAGGGAAAAAGCGACCCGGCCUCAUACGCCGGGGAGUUGAUUGUACCUGCAGAGGAAGCCCCGGCUAACUCUGUGCCAGCAGCCGCGGUAAUACAGCGGGGGCAAGCGUUAUUCGGAAUUAUUGGGCGUAAAGGGCGCGUAGGCGGCAUGGCAAGUGGAAGGUGAAAUCCCUCGGCUUAACCGAGGAACUGCCCUCCAAACUGCUUUGCUUGAGGCCGGGAGAGGUGAGUGGAAUUCCCAGUGUAGCGGUGAAAUGCGUAGAUAUUGGGAGGAACACCAGUGGCGAAGGCGGCUCACUGGACCGGUUCUGACGCUGAUGCGCGAAAGCGUGGGGAGCAAAC